rnacentral:lncRNA from 10 species
AAAAGCCUAUAAUCAGUAUAAGCCUGACACAGACAGGUGCUCAGGAAACAAUUUUUGAAUGAAUGACUAGAUGCUGAAUUAUUUGCUUGGUAGGAUGAGGAUGGGCAUUUCCAACAUAUUGCAACUGGAAACAGUGUUCCACGUUUAGAACUCCUCUUCGCCUCAUGAGCUAAUUUGGCACAUUACUGGUCUGAGUGAGCUGUGGGUUGUCUUCAGGACAACCCCAACCAUCCAGGGAGGAACAGCUAAUAAGAAUGGCACCCUUGCUGGAAAGUGUAUGGUUGCUGACUGGAAGAAAUAUCCAUGACAUGUUGUGAUCCACCAGGAACAGAGGCCACGUAGGGAGAGACUCCAACUCCCACUGAGAGUGGAAGGCCCCUUCUCCCCAGGGGCAGAACAACCGUCAGGACCCCCGCUUGACUGUCUUUGGUGGCAAGCAUGGCUGGAGUUGGCCACCCUGAGCUCAUUAUGUUGAGCACAGAGAAAUUUACCACAGGGGAAAGAAAGCAAUGCCAGAACCCUGGGCAGCCCAGGAAGAAGGCCACACUAAGCGUCUUGUGUUAAGGGUCCCUUCUCCCACAGAUGAGCCAUUUCUGGGCUAAAAUCCAUAUAGUUUUGUCCUUUCCCUCCCUAAGCUGUGAAGGAAGUGGGAGCAGUAGACAAAGCUGGGCAUCCACCCAGGGCUGGGCAGGUCUGGGGCAGA